rnacentral:rRNA from 1 species
UUACUCGUCGUUACUGGGCGUAUAGGAUACGUAGACGGCUUCAAAAUGCUAUUUACCGAAACAAAUUAGUUAGGGUGUAGUAAUUUGGUGCUUGGUUUAAUCAAAGGCUACACACAGGUGUACGUUAGCGAUAAAAUGCAUAAAACGUAUACUGGUUUCCGAAGGUGAAAACAUGUCGCUAUGAUUAAUCGACGUUGAGGUAUGAAGGUAUGGGUGUCGAUCGGGAUUAGAGACCCCAGUAGUCCAUACUACAAAAGAUGAGUAUUCCAAUUAUAGAAAACUUGGAAGCUAACGCGAUAAAUACUCCGCCUGGGAAGUACGGCCGCAAGGUUAAAACUUAAGAGAUUUGGCGGGAAUUUGUUCGAACGGUGGAACAUGUGGUUUAAUUCGAUAAUCCACGAAAAAUCUUACCAGUGUUGGACUACAUUAAAGUCGAAAAAUUAAUUAUUUUAUCGAAUUUUUAGUGUUAACAAGGUGCUGCAUGGCUGUCGUCAGUUCGUGCUGUGACGUGUAGAGUUAAGUCUCGUAAACGAACAAAACCUCUGGGGUUCGUUAACUGGGCUGUUUUACUAUUUUUUUGCAGCUUAGCGUAAGGAUUCAUCAUAAUUUAUAUUAAAAAAAUCGGUUAAAGGUUUUUAACCUCAACUUAUUUGUUUAGCGGGAUAAUUCUCACACUCAAAACAGCCCCCGCCAAUACCACCCUUGGUUACCCUUGUUUUAAGGUUUGACUUAAAGGGUUUUUGGUAUAGCGGGUAGUUUUAGUGUUUUUAAACAGAUUAUUUUGAUAUAACUUUAAUGAGAUAGAGCUGAAGUCAAGUCCUUAUGGCCUGUAUAUGCUGGGCUACACACGUGUUACAAGGGUAAAGACAGAGAGUGGCGAGUGCGCAAGUAGGAGCAAUUCUCUAAAAAUUAUCUCAGUUCGGAUUGUUUUAUGGAACUCUAAAACAUGAAGUUGAAAUCGUUAGUAAUUACACUUUAGUAUGGUGUAGUGAAUGAAAAGUCAAAUUUUGCACACACUGCCCAUCACGCCCGAAGAGUUGGUUCGGAGGGAAGAUAGUUAGACCGCGGUGGAAUUUAAUAAGUUCAAAUAACACACCGGUAUCGGCGCUUUCGGGUGGCGGUUUGUAUUCAUCGAAAUCAGUUUGUAUUUGUGUAAUUGACACAAGG